UACGUAGGGUGCAAGCGUUGUCCGGAAUUAUUGGGCGUAAAGAGCUCGUAGGCGGUCUGUCGCGUCGGCUGUGAAAUCCCGAGGCUCAACCUCGGGUCUGCAGUCGAUACGGGCAAACUAGAGUAUUGCAGGGGAGACUGGAAUUCCUGGUGUAGCGGUGAAAUGCGCAGAUAUCAGGAGGAACACCGGUGGCGAAGGCGGGUCUCCG
rnacentral:rRNA from 1 species